CCUACGGGAGGCUGCAGUGGGGAAUAUUGGGCAAUGGGCGCAAGCCUGACCCAGCAACGCCGCGUGAAGGAAUAAGGCUUUCGGGUUGUAAACUCCUUUUGACAGGGAAGAGUGGAAGACGGUGCCUGUCGACUAAGCCACGGCCAAAUACGUCCCAGUCGCCGGGGUAAGACGGAGGGGGCACGCGUUGUCCGGAUUUACUGGGUGUAAAGGGCGUGUAGCGGGGUUGACAAGUCCGAUGUGAAAUCCUGCGGCUUAAACGCAGAACUGCCUUUGAAACUGGUGAUCUUGAGUACUCGAGAGGAAGACGGAAUGCGUGGUGUAGCGGUGAAAUGCGUAGAUAUUAGGCGGAACACCAGUUGCGAAGGCAGUCUUCUGGACAGCAACUGACGGUGAGGCGCGAAAGCGUGGGGAGCAAACAGGAUUAGAUACCCUAGUAGUC
rnacentral:rRNA from 1 species